UACGUAGGGGGCAAGCGUUAUCCGGAUUUACUGGGUGUAAAGGGAGCGUAGGCGGCGAUGCAAGUCAGAAGUGAAAGCCCGGGGCUCAACUCCGGGACUGCUUUUGAAACUGUGUUGCUAGAUUGCAGGAGAGGUAAGUGGAAUUCCUAGUGUAGCGGUGAAAUGCGUAGAUAUUAGGAGGAACACCAGUGGCGAAGGCGGCCUGCUGGGCUUUUACUGACGCUGAGGCUCGAAAGUGUGGGGAGCAAACAGG
rnacentral:rRNA from 1 species